rnacentral:rRNA from 1 species
GAUGAACGCUAGCGACAGGCUUAACACAUGCAAGUCGAGGGGAAACGGCAUUGAGUGCUUGCACUCUUUGGACGUCGACCGGCGCACGGGUGAGUAACGCGUAUCCAACCUUCCCAUUACUGUGGGAUAACCUGCCGAAAGGCAGACUAAUACCGCAUAGUCUUCGAUGACGGCAUCAGAUUUGAAGUAAGUUUUUUUCGCUAAGGGUGGGGUUGCGUCUGAUUGGGCUGUUGGCAGGGGUACCGCCCACCAAGGGUACGAACAGGACGGGUUCUGAGAGGAAGGUCCCCCACAUUGGAACUGAGACACGGUCCAAACUGCUACGGGGGGCAGCAGUGAGGAAUAUUGGGCAAUGGACGGAAGUCUGAACCAGCCAAGUAGCGGGCAGGAUGACGGCCCUAUGGAUUGUAAGCUGCUUUUGUAUAGGGAUAAAGUUAGGGACGUGUCCCUAUUUGCAGGUACCAUACGAAUAAGGACCGGCUAAUUCCGUG